GAGUGGAAAUGAGGCAUGGUGAUUAUGUACAUUGUUAUUGGAUUUUAAAUCACCAUAUGUGGAAAGGAUGCCACAUGGGUAGUCAUGGAUAGACUUACCAAGUCAGCCCAUUUCCUAAGUAAUUAAGAAGACAAUCAGAGCUAAUCAAUUGGAGCAGACCUACAUUAUUGGGUUUGAGAAGUUUCAUGGAUGUUAACAUUGUAUCGGAUUGGGAAUCGAAGUCACAUCUACAUUUCAGAGAGCCUUUCGGAAGGCACUUGGGACAAAGAUCAUAUGAGUACAUCUUAUCACCCGUUGACAUAUUGUCAGUCAGAGAGGACUACUCAGAACUUAAAAGAUAUGUUCAGAGAUUGCGUGGGAUGGAAUUUCGGAAAGCAUCUACGUUUACUAGAGUUUUCCUACAUCGACAACUAUCUUUUGAGUAUUGAAAAAAAAAAUUACUAUACGAGGGUUAUUUAUGGUAGACCUUAUAGUAUACCACUUUGUUGGACCAAAGUGUGGUAGCAAUAUGAGUUAGAACUAUUAAUGGUUCAAGAGACGGUAAAGCAAAGGACAUGCUCAAGGAUUGGCUUUCGGAAGCCCAUGACGUCAGAGGAUUUAUGCAGCUAAGCACCGUAAGGAUUCGGAGCUACAUAUGAGCACCUAAUAUACCUGAAAAAUAAGGACAUUUCAGGAGGGACCUAAGACUCAGAAGAUAAAGGAGCUUAAACCGAGACACAUGGAAUUGUAUCCUUCACUGGAGUAGAUUGGAUUAGUUGCUUGCAGUUACUUUAUCAGCAGUAUAUCAGCCUUCUAGGACUUGGUUCAUAUGACAACAUUGCAAAAGUUGAGAAGGCGCUAUAAUUAUUUUGCAGUAGACGUCAAGUGACUUCAGAAAGUUUUAUGGACCUUAUCAUCUAUUACAGAUUUUGGAUCAUCAAGUGGAAACAGUUCGGGGAAUGUCGACCGUGUUUGUCCGAGUUCGUUGGGAAAGAUAUAAGACUCAGGAGGAGACCUGGAAGGCCGAGCGAGGAUUAGUAUUCGAGGUUUUGCUAUGAUGACAUUGGGCACGUCAGCUUAUGACAUGAAUUCGGGGACGAAUUCCUUAUAAGUGGGGGAGAAUUGUAAUGACCCAAUCCCACCAUCUCGACUUCUUUCCCCAACCCCACCAUUUUCACCUUCUUUUUCACCAUCUCCACCUUCUUUCCCACCAUCUCCAUCUUCUAUAAUUCACAAAUUAAAAAAGAGAGAGAGAGAGAGAAAGAGAGAGAAAAGAAGAAGAAGAAGGGAGAAAGCUCACUUGAACUCGUCGCCGGAGCCACCACACGCCAGGACGUCGUCAAGCUCGUCACCACCAUCAUCCGCAACCAAAGAUUUGGAGUCCAUUUGAGCAGCUGGAGUUCAUAUAUACCACUUCUCUUCAUUGCUAAGGUGAAACCUACGAGCAAGAGUGAUUAUCCGACUGGUGCUAUUGGGCUUUUGGGCUUUUACUACUAUCGAGCUUUGGACUUCUAUCACUUUUAUCGUUUUUAUCGCUUUUUGGCCUUUGGGCUUCUAUCUAUCGUUUAUGAUAUUUCGUAUUUCGGACUUUCGGUUUAUGUCGAACUUUUUAUUUUGGAUGUUAUCGUUAUUGGGCCUUAGGGCCUUAUGCCAUAGUAUUGACUUUAUAUUAUGAUGGAGGAUAUUAUUAUUAUUUUGGUUGUGUUAUUCUUUUAUUUUUCCGCUCUUAUAUAUUUAUUAUAUUUCGAAAGAGACGGGUGUCACAUUUUGGUAUUAGAGCUAUUUAUUUAUCGUAACAUUUUAUUAUGUAAAUCGGGGUGUCACAAUAUUAUCCAAACUAUUAAGUUAUAUACACAAUGUAAUAUAACGUUUAAUUCACUAGUUUAGUUGCUCAUAUGAUUAUGCU